rnacentral:rRNA from 1 species
UAGGGAAUCUUCCACAAUGGGCGAAAGCCUGAUGGAGCAACGCCGCGUGUGUGAUGAAGGCUUUCGGGUCGUAAAGCACUGUUGUAUGGGAAGAACAGCUAGAAUAGGGAAUGAUUUUAGUUUGACGGUACCGUNCCAGAAA